AUUGAACGCCGGCGGCAUGCUUAACACAUGCAAGUCGAACGGUAGCAGACCUAGCUUGCUAGGUGCUGACGAGUGGCGGACGGGUGAGUAACGCGUGGGAAUCUGCCCAGUAGCGGGGGACAACUCGGGGAAACUCGAGCUAAUACCGCAUACGCCCUACGGGGAAAGGCUUCGGCCACUAUUGGAUGAGCCCGCGUCGGAUUAGCUUGUUGGUGGGGUAAUGGCCCACCAAGGCGACGAUCCGUAGCUGGUCUGAGAGGAUGAUCAGCCACACUGGGACUGAGACACGGCCCAGACUCCUACGGGAGGCAGCAGUGGGGAAUAUUGGACAAUGGGCGAAAGCCUGAUCCAGCAAUGCCGCGUGUGUGAAGAAGGCCUGCGGGUUGUAAAGCACUUUCAGUAGGGAAGAUUAUGACGGUACCUACAGAAGAAGCACCGGCUAACUCCGUG
rnacentral:rRNA from 1 species